GGCUCACGGAACACGCACUCUUUGCCUCACGUUUUCGCUUCAACACCAAUCGAGACGCGUUUCGAACGAACCACGGGCUGCCUCGCGUUCUUUUCCUCGUUCGAUUCGAUCCGAUCCAGCAUGUCGUUCGUGACUGGUUUUUAUACACGACAUUUCGUUCGCAAUCGAACGCAAAACUCACUUGUCGCACGCUUGUCAGCGGCCAAGCCGCAUCGUCGAGUAUAGGUUAGGUAAGAAAGCUUGCUAGGUUAGAGAGCUUAUUACGUACUGUUCCAGCCAACUUUUCGAAAGCUAUCACUUUUGACGUCUCUCCGGUUGUCAUUUCAGGAGAUGCGUCGUCGAUGCGUUUUUCACCAAGUUACUCAUGUGCGCUGUCUCAUAAUGUGUGUUGCCGACGCACUCCUCUCGAUCCGUCACUCGACGAUCUUCGACACUUUGCAUCGAACCGCGUCCCGGCCACGAAAUUCCACGGGAAUCUUCCUCUACGUCAAUGCUGCUUUUAAUCGGUGACACGAUCGACCGACGUUGCUUUCACGAGUGCGUUUAACUUUGUUUACUUUUCUCCGCGUUUGAGCGCGCCGUUACCGCGCCGAUAUGCCUUUCCGAUUGAUUCGCGGCGCGUUACGCGAUCGCGGAAACGCGCUACUUUUUCAGAUCUGCGACAGAUCGUCGAGAUAUCGCUAGAAUCGCACACUGUCGCUGUAAUCGAUUAUCGUACUUCACUAUUCACUUGUCACGUGUCUUCGUGUAUCGAUGCGCGGCGUAACGAAUUUUUCCUGGCCAGCCUAUCGCUCGUGCCAAAAACGUUUUUGGAGUCGGUUUCCGAAUCGUUCGAAAUGAUUCACGAGUGUUAAUCAACGUGUACGAUGCGUUCGCGAUCUCGUGCGUGGUGAACACUUUGAUUCGUAGCAUGACAGUGACAAACAACGAUUGCGUCGAAGUAAUCGAAGAAAUUGGCGAAUCAUAGACGGUUCGCGAAUGCUUUGAAAAAUUUGUUUGGCAAAAGUUAAACAGCACAAGGUCGAUCAACGUCGAACGUGGUUACGAUGCGUUGCGAGAAACGAUUCACGAUCCACUGGCGUCCGCGCCACGGGUAACUGUCAACCGUGGGAUUUCACGUGUCUCGGGCGCGCUGUUCGGCCGACAGAGACGUUCUCUCGAUGGGAAAUCCAAUGAUCGUGCACGAGAGAUCUGCGAGCGGGUGCAAAGUGCGUGUUCCGUGUCCUGCCGUGUAUAUCGGAGAAAGGAUCGGAAGGAGCUCAAUACCACGAGAAUCAUAUCGGAAUACGAAGGGGACCUCGAACGCGCGACACGUGCGACUUCGAAUUAGAAAAAGUAAACACGCGUUCGGCCAGGUGGCGCGGAAUGUCGUUGCUAUAUCGAUGUGCGGACUCCACGCGCGCAGGAUUCAAGCAGAAAAGCAAGUAAAACCUUGGCAAACGAUGCUCACCGAAAAGAAGCAAACGACGCAUCGGUGCGUUGGCAUUCGUUUUUAAGAUCUACGUUUUAGCAAAUCCCGAGGAAAGGUGAAUAGCGCGAAGAAAUAAACUUUCAUAAAGGCGCGGUGAAUACACCUGAAGGAAACUAUAAAAAUGAACGAAAAAAUAGAAAAGGGCAAACAAAAGGGAAGCAGGAAAGAGAAGAUAAAGGUGUGUAAACGAUGAGGAAAGGGAGGAAGGUGGAAGCACGUCUAGCGAUUCGCGACAGAAAACGAACUUUGGGGUUUCGUAGCGCUCUCGCUGCUUGUUGCUGCUGGCGUGAUUCAAAUUUAAAGCGAUGUUUACCCUCCGAUCUAUGCGCAGCACACCCCACAACGCAACUAAUGCGAGCUACAUGGUUGCGUGCAUGGAUUUCGAGAUUCUCUAUGACUUUAUUCUAUAUAUGCUUCUUAGAUAAUAAUCGAGAAGCUGGUAUGAUAGAUGGUGUAAAUAUUAGAAAGACGAAGUCGAUUCUUUAACGUCAUUCGAUUUAUUAAGAAUAUGGUAACACUGUCGUAAAAUGUAAAGUAAAAUAAAAUUUAAUAUAAGCUACAUUAAUAGAAUGGUGUAACGCGUAAUAUUGAAAUUAGAAAUUUGAUAAUUAUAAAUGUAACUAUGAAAUCUUUGUCAAACAAUACGUUUGAAUUUGCUUCGAUACGUCACAUACGAAAAUCUUAUUUUCUCAUCUUACAGUAGAAACCUACGAACGAGAGAUCGAAAUACGUAGAAAUAUCAAACUUUUCAAAACGACAAGCUUCGAUUUUCUCUUCCCCGCAAUUACUAACGAUACGUAGAUGCUUUCGAUAAAACCAAGUUACCUUUUAUCCUAAUCAAAAUAUGAUUAUCUAUUUCUAUUUCGUUCCCAUUGCACCGUUUUAGUCGUAGUUACUCGUAUGAUAUUUAAAUCCAAAUUGAAUACCUGUUGGUCAAGCGGUGAUCUCGAUAUACGAUUUUUACCUAUUACGAUCAAUGCACACUAGGAAAACGAAACGUUCGCUCCUGUAAGAUUCUACUUUCGAAGAAAAACAACUUCCGAAUUCUUCCAAAUAAAUUAAAAAGAAAAAAGAAAAAAAGAGAAAAAACUGAACGAAAAAGGAAAAGGAAGCGCAAAAAGGCCAAACUUGGAAGGAAACGAAAUUAUCUCCACUUUACCAUACAAGCUCAGAGGUAUUAACCUGUCAUUUAAACCAUCAACAUUGUACCACACGGGUUGCGCUCCGGAUCACGCGAUCGAAAAAGAAAGCGAAGCGAAACGGGCAACCUGGCGGUCCCUUAAAUUACUUUUUUACCCCUGAAGCGUACUUACAAACUGGACUACGGUCGAGUUAUGAAGCAGAUCGCAAAUCUUACACGCGGUUCCUUGUCAACCGGGCGGCCGAUGAUCCGUCGAAUAUUUAACGGCGAUGAUAAACGGGCCAAGCUCGAUUAAAGGUAAUCGUCGAUCGGUGGACUCACACCUGUAUUCCCGGUAAUAGACGGUUGUCCGUCCCUGCGGACAAGACCGGUAGCCGGAGCGUACACGCCCAUCGUACGAACGGCCCGUUUCUCUCCCCUUGCGAUCCAACAACACGCCGUGUACACGGCAAUCCGUGGCGAUACCAAGGUAUGCGAGCUGCCUCGCGCUUAUGCAUGCUCGCAGCAUCUGUUGCUACAAGACAGACGUUCCCGGCAUUACGUUACGAGUUACGACGUUACGAUCUCCGUAGCCUACAGUGGGCCACAUAUGCCGCUUCAAAGAACACGUGUGCAUCUCGACUGGAUCUCGUGCGACGACGACCACGCUCCUCGCACGCUUCCACGCUGAUUUUUUAUCC
rnacentral:lncRNA from 1 species